rnacentral:rRNA from 1 species
CGUGAGUGAUGAAGGCUUUCGAGUCGUAAAGCUCUGUCAAGUGGGAAGAACCCGCAUGGUGCCAAUAUCGCCAUGCGCUGACGGUACCACUGAAGGAAGCACCGGCUAACUCCGUGCCAGCAGCCGCGGUAAUACGGGGGGUGCAAGCGUUAUUCGGAAUUACUGGGCGUAAAGAGCGCGUAGGCGGUCUUUUAAGUCAGGUGUGAAAGCCCGAGGCUCAACCUCGGAAGUGCACUUGAAACUAAGGGACUUGAGUAUGGGAGAGGGAAGUGGAAUUCCUGGUGUAGCGGUGAAAUGCGUAGAUAUCAGGAGGAACACCGGUGGCGAAGGCGACUUCCUGGACCAAUACUGACGCUGAGGCGCGAAGGCGUGGGGAGCAAACAGGAUUAGAUACCCUGGUAGUCCACGCAGUAAACGGUGAACACUAGGUGUAGCGGGUAUUGACCCCUGCUGUGCCGCAGCAAACGCAUUAA